CUACGGGGUGCUCCAGUGGGGAAUAUUGCACAAUGGGCGCAAGCCUGAUGCAGCCAUGCCGCGUGUAUGAAGAAGGCCUUCGGGUUGUAAAGUACUUUCAGCGGGGAGGAAGGGAGUAAAGUUAAUACCUUUGCUCAUUGACGUUACCCGCAGAAGAAGCACCGGCGUAACUCCGUGCCAGCAGCCGCGGUAAUACGGAGGGUGCAAGCGUUAAUCGGAAUUACUGGGCGUAAAGCGCACGCAGGCGGUUUGGUAAGUCAGAUGUGAAAUCCCCGGGCUCAACCUGGGAACUGCAUCUGAUACUGGCAAGCUUGAGUCUCGUAGAGGGGGGUAGAAUUCCAGGUGUAGCGGUGAAAUGCGUAGAGAUCUGGAGGAAUACCGGUGGCGAAGGCGCCCCCCUGGACGAAGACUGACGCUCAGGUGCGAAAGCGUGGGGAGCAAACAGGAUUAGAUACCCUUGUAGUC
rnacentral:rRNA from 1 species